UUUUACAUGAAACUUCUGUGGUCCCUUACAGUAUAUCCCUCAAAUAAAGCCACUCAUUACCCAGCUAUCUAACUCCAGUAUAACCUUUUUUUUAAUCUAUUGUGUUACUGACAGUUUAGUUCUACGGCUCUCUAUUUUAGUCUUCUGUUUGGGACUUUAUGAAAAGCUUUCUGAGAAUCCAUAAUGUGUUCAUCCAUUGUUACAUACCCUGUGGGUACCUUGUGACUGUCACAUGACCAUGAUGUAAUUAAGUCUCUGUUGAGCAUGAUGUAACGGUCUUGUGAUGGUGGAGUGAUGUAAUUUUCCGCUAGUGAGAGGUCAUGUGAUGGCCUGUUUCAACAGGUAUAAAAGGGGAAAGCCUUGCUGUGAUGCAGGUCAGUUCAUGGUUUAAUUCGUAAGCGACUUCGUUAUGUUGUGUAUUCGUCUCAUGACGCAGUUUUGUUUUAAAGUGGAGUUUUACUUUCUGCCUUAAGUCUCAAAGGUUACUGCCGGCAGUCUCGCCAGUUUAGUCUAGUCGGAGAGUAAUGAUUUAUGGAAGUACAGAGACCCGAAGGAUUGAGUAAAGUUGGUGUCAUCAUCGGUAAUACAGGAUUGACCUUAUUGAAUCCUCAUUUGGAAGAGAUAGUGACCUGCAUCCAAAAUAGUCCCUGCUAUAACAGCAGAAAAAGCUGGAGCAGGAUUAUUCACCAAGGAAAGGAUCUACUGGGAAAGUCUCAAAGAUCGACCGGUCGAUCGCGAUCGACGGGUUGGCAACCACUAUUCUAGAGAAACACACACAAAGUGCUGGAGGAACUCAGCAGGCCAGGCACCAGCUAUGGAAAAGAGUAGAGUCGAUGUUUUGGGCCAAGACCCUCUGCCAGAUCCUCACGGUCUCUAAUCCAUCUCAUCCACUGCUUCUCAGAUCCAUCCAAGAAAGUAAAUCUGGGCCUGAAGGACAUGUGACACAGGGAGCAGCUUCAAGUAAACACCUAGUUACCUUCCAAAUAGAACUGAAACGGCUGUGGUUAGUUGCUGCUGACCGGUGAAUCCUCCAACUUGCUCCACCAGAACAAAAGAAAUUGUGACAUUUGCAUUUUGGGAAGAAGUUUACUGUUGAAAGGGCUUGCACUUAAAUUGCAACUUUUCAUAACCCCAGUGUUCGAAAGAACAUAUAAUUUGGAUGUAUAAUCAUUGUUGAAAUGUACGUAAAGGGAAAAGACAACAGAAAUGUAAAGUCCACUGCUGUUCACUCUGCUCACCCACGACUGUGCUGCAACACACAGCUCAAACCACAUUAUCAAGUUCGCCAAUGACACGACUGCGGUGGGUCUCAUCAGCAAGAACAACGAGUCAGCAUACAGAGAGGAGGUGCAGCGGCUAACGGACUGGUGCAGAACCAACAACCUGUCUCUGAAUGUGAAAAAAACAAAAGAGAUGUUUGUUGACUUCAGGAGGGCAUGGAGCAACUACUCUCCACUGAACAUCCACAGCUCCUCGGUAGAGAUCGUUAAGAGCACCAAAUUUCUUGGUGUUCACCUGGUGGAGAAUCUCACCUGGUCCCUCAACACCAGCUCCAUAGCAAAAAAAGCCCAGCAGUGUCUCUACUUUCUGCAAAGGCUGAGGAAAGUCCAUCUCUCACUCCCCAUCCUCAUCACAUUCGACAGAGGUUGUAUUGAGAGCGUCCUGAGCAGCUGUAUCACUGCCUGGUUUGGAAAUUGCACCAUCUCAGAUCGCAAGACCCUGCAGCGGAUAGUGAGAUCAGCUGAGAAGAUCAUUGGGGUCUCUCUUCCCGCCAUUACGGAUAUUUACACUCCACAUUGCAUCCGCAAAGCAAACAGCAUUAUGAAGGACCCCACGCACCCCUCAUACAAAUUCUUCUCCCUCCUGCCAUCUGGGAAAAGGCACCGAAGCAUUCAGGCUCUCAAGACCAGACUAUGUAACAGUUUCAUCCCCCAAGCCAUCAAACUCCUUAAUACCCAGAGUCCGGACUCACAUCAACUUACUGUGCCUUGUUUAUUAUUUAUUGUAAUGCUACACUGUUUUGUGCACUUUAUGCAGACUGCAGGUCUGUAGUCUAGUGUAGUUUUUUCUGUGUUGUUUUUACAUAGUUCAGUGUAGUUUUUGUAUUGUUUCAUGUAACACCAUGGUCCUGAAAAACACUGUCUUGUUUUUACUGUGUACUGUACCAGC